AGUGAACGCUGGCGGUAGGCCUAACACAUGCAAGUCGAACGGCAGCACAGUAAGAGCUUGCUCUUACGGGUGGCGAGUGGCGGACGGGUGAGGAAUACAUCGGAAUCUACUUUUUCGGGGGGGAUAACGUAGGGAAACUUACGCUAAUACCGCAUACGACCUACGGGUGAAAGCAGGGGAUCUUCGGACCUUGCGCGAUUGAAUGAGCCGAUGUCGGAUUAGCUAGUUGGCGGGGUAAAGGCCCACCAAGGCGACGAUCCGUAGCUGGUCCGAGAGGAUGAUCAGCCACACUGGAACUGAGACACGGUCCAGACUCCUACGGGAGGCAGCAGCGGGGAAUAUUGGACAAUGGGCGCAAGCCUGAUCCAGCCAUACCGCGUGGGUGAAGAAGGCCUUCGGGUUGUAAAGCCCUUUUGUUGGGAAAGAAAAGCAGCAGGUUAAUACCCCGCUGUUCUGACGGUACCCAAAGAAUAAGCACCUGCUAACUUCGUG
rnacentral:rRNA from 1 species